AUUGAACGCUGGCGGCAUGCCUUAUACAUGCCAGUCGAGCGACAGCACGGGGACAGCCCUCCUCUCACGUGGCGGACGGAUGGGUAAUACACCCGAACGUGCCCGAUCGUGGGGAAUAACGUAACGUCAGGUACCCUAAUCUCGUAUCCGAUAUUAUGUUGAACGCGAUGGUCCUUCAGUGCUCGCGCGAUUGGCGCUGCCGGUGACAGAUUAGGUAGUUGGUUGGGUAAAGGCUUACCAAGCCGACGAUCUGUAGCUGGUCUGAGAGGACGACCAGCCACACUGGGACUGAGACACGGCCCAGACUCCUACGGGAGGCAGCAGUGGGGAAUCUUGCGCAAUGGGCGCAAGCCUGAUCCAGCCACGCCGCGUGCAGGAUGAAGGUCUUCGGGUUGUAAACUGCUUUUGUUCGGAACGAAAAGGCGUUGGCUAAUACAUGCGGGUCAUGACGGUACCGAAAGAAUAAGCACCGGCUAACUACGUG
rnacentral:rRNA from 1 species